rnacentral:rRNA from 1 species
AGCGAACGCUGGCGGCAGGCCUAACACAUGCAAGUCGAACGAAGUCUUCGGACUUAGUGGCGGACGGGUGAGUAACACGUGGGAACGUGCCUUUAGGUUCGGAAUAACUCAGGGAAACUUGUGCUAAUACCGAAUGUGCCCUUCGGGGGAAAGAUUUAUCGCCUUUAGAGCGGCCCGCGUCUGAUUAGCUAGUUGGUGAGGUAAAGGCUCACCAAGGCUACGAUCAGUAGCUGGUCUGAGAGGAUGACCAGCCACAUUGGGACUGAGACACGGCCCAAACUCCUACGGGAGGCAGCAGUGGGGAAUCUUGCGCAAUGGGCGAAAGCCUGACGCAGCCAUGCCGCGUGGAUGAUGAAGGUCUUAGUAUUGUAAAAUCCUUUCACCGGUGAAGAUAAUGACUGUAGCCGGAGAAGAAGCCCCGGCUAGCUUCGUGCCAGCCGCCGCAGUAAGAC